rnacentral:rRNA from 1 species
GACGAACGCUGGCGGCGUGCUUAACACAUGCAAGUCGAACGGAAAGGCCCUGCUUUUGUGGGGUGCUCGAGUGGCGAACGGGUGAGUAACACGUGAUUAACCUGCCCUUGACUUUGGGAUAACUUCAGGAAACUGGGGCUAAUACCGGAUAGGAGCUCCUGCUGCAUGGUGGGGGUUGGAAAGUUUCGGCGGUUGGGGAUGGACUCGCGGCUUAUCAGCUUGUUGGUGGGGUAGUGGCUUACCAAGGCUUUGACGGGUAGCCGGCCUGAGAGGGUGACCGGCCACAUUGGGACUGAGAUACGGCCCAGACUCCUACGGGAGGCAGAAGUGGGGAAUAUUGCACAAUGGGCGGAAGCCUGAUGCAGCAACGCCGCGUGCGGGAUGACGGCCUUCGGGUUGUAAACCGCUUUCGCCUGUGACGAAGCGUGAGUGACGGUAAUGGGUAAAGAAGCACCGGCUAACUACGUG